CCUGAGAAAUCCAAAAGUUCGAAUGGAGAGAUUCAGCGUCAGUUCUUGUCGGCUUGCGUGUGACUCGCGAUGUUACGUCGGUGCGGUAUUUUUAAUAUCGUAUCUCGUGACACGCGUUCACUGCGUCAUGUUCCGACGGCGCCGGCGUGCACUUCUCUCCUAGUAGAACGUCGCGACCCGUUGGGUUUUGCCACGUCGGUCAUUAUGGGCCCGUACGGUAGACCGUUGAGCAAACGCUCGACGGACCAUCGGUGUAAUUUACCCGACCGACUGCCCGACGGUAUUGAAAGCUUAUUAAUCAUGAUUGGUAUCGAGCCGCAACUUUGAAUGCGUUCGGCUUGUCGUUCGAUACGGAGUCUCGUUCGGUAAUUCACGCGGACCUGGUGCCGUUGCCGUAACGUAUGGCUUCUUCGAGCGUCAAUGUCCUCGAACAGGCUCGGAGCACCGCCUCGCGCGCGUGCUUACCGGUCGGCGACGCUUUUGCUUUGGAUACUUUCAGG
rnacentral:rRNA from 1 species